rnacentral:lncRNA from 1 species
AAGCCAGUUGUACAGGAACUGCCAAAGGCAACAGAAAUUCUUUCUCCCUAUGUCCCAGCCUACCCCCACUUUACCGAGGCCAACAGCCGCCUCAGAAACCAGAUUCAGGAGCUAACAUGCCCCAGGUCUCACGAGGAUCAGAGACUCCAGAGGCCAGGGAAGGAGAUCAAGGUAGUCAAGCGGGGGUCGUCUCAGAUCUGGUUGUGCUCGAGCUAUGCAAAUGCCUCUCACGGAGAUGCGAGGACCUAUCUAUUAUGAUGACCAGGGCCACAUCCGGAGGGGGCAACAGACUUUCAUCUAUCAGCCCUUUUCAACCACUGAUCUACUAAACUGGAAACACUCUGAACCCUGCCAUCUUGCUCCUGGUAUCAGAGAGCCCUGUCGUGCAUAACUGUGUAGAAGUGUUGGACUCGGUUUACUCCAGCAGACCUGAUCUCCGGGACCAGCCUUGGGCAUCAGUAGACUGGAAGCUAUAUGUGGACAGGAGCAGCUUCAUCAACCCACAAGGAGAGAGAUGUGCGGGAUAUGUGGUGGAACCCUGGACACUGUCGUUGAAGCCAGAUCGUUGCUCCAAGGCACUUCAGCCCAGAAAGAUGAGCUCAUUGCUUUAAUUUGGGCCUUAGAACUCAGUUAAGGCCUUCUACGGUCCCAGGCUUUCUGCUGCAUACACUGAAGGGCCACGAAGUACAGUCAUCUGGACUUGGCACCUGGAAUACAAGGAUGGAAAGCAUCAUUUCUGCCAGCUUCUUAUGGUCCUGAGGCGAGACAGUCAUGAGAGAGGAAAACUGCAAUGACUUCUGACCACUGCCAGCCUCGCUUCCUGCAUUUUCUUCUUCGGCUUACUCUUGCCAAGUUGGAGUUGCCUAACUUCCAAGAGGGUAUUUGCUCUUUUUUUUUUCUCACUCCACAAACUCUUCCCAGGUAGUUCAGUCCACUCCCAUCUACCAGUCACUAUACGCCGAUGAAUGCCAAUAUUAUUAUUUCCAGCUUAGACAUUGUUCUUGGAUUGCAGAUGUGAGGUUUGACUUGUUUACUAGACAUUGCUGGCUGAGGAUCCCUAGCAUAACAUGGCCCAAAUUCAAUUUAUUUCCAAAGCUGUCUCAUCUCCUUUGUUCUCUGUAAUGAUGUUGCUAUCCAUUCGAUCAACAUACUCAGAAAUAUCACCCCCUCCUUCCUUCUUCCAAGAUAAGUGAGUUGCUCACGACAUGAUCAUGUUUUGGCAGUGUACUCUGUCCAUUCCCAUCACUUAGUAAGAAUCAUCUAGGUUAUGCUGAAGUAUGAAGUUAAUCUCCAAAUUUCUCUGGCUCAGUACAGAAAAAGUCCAUUUCUCCCUUCUGCAAUGCACCCAAUGCAGGUCUGCAGGGUCUCUGCUGUGCGUUGUCCCUCAGGGACUCAGGCUGAAGAGGCCCCCUUGUCUUAUCUGGCCACCUCCUCUGCACAUGGCUCAGGAUUUUCCAGGCAAGGGGUUGAGCAGAGGCUUUUCAGUGCUGGGCCUGGAUGUGACAUAAGAUGCUUCUGCUCACAGCCUUGUGGUCAGAACAAGUCACAUCAUCCCUCCUACUUGCAGGGGUGCUGGGCAGCGUAGUCAUCCACAGAUCAGGAGAGGGAGCAGAGGCAGGUGUUCCCGGGCUGCAGCGAUCUCCACUGCACUGCUGUGGGCUGAACUGUGCCCUCCACCCCACCAAGCUUAUAUGCUGCCAGCCUCACCCUCCACACCUUAGAAUGUGGCUGUAUCUCGACAUAGGGUCCUUACAGAGGUAGUUAAGUUAAAGCAGGGUCAUUAGGGUGGGCCCUAAGGUACUCUGACUGGUGUUUUUAUGAGAAGAGGAGAUUAGGACUUACAGGGAGAGACACUAGGUAUGUGAGCACACAGAGAAAAGACCAUGUGAAGACGAGAAGAAGGCAACUGUCUCCAAUCCAGACGGAGAUGCCAGGCACAGCCCUUCUGUCACAACCCUCAGAAGGAACCAACCCUGCCGACACCUUGGCCUUGUACUUCUGGCCUCCAGAACCGCAGGAAAGUACAUUUCUGUUGCUUAGGCCGCUCAGCCUGUGGCACUUUGUUACAGCUUCUCACCCAGUUCAGGCCCUUUUAAUUGAUUGCUGGGCCUUUGCAGUUGUUUUUGCUUCUAAUAUAUUCAUCUCUCAAUUUAUUUCUGGAGGCUGCCACCCGAGGGGCAGAACUUCAAUUGUGUCCCUAAUGGGAAACCUUGCUGGGAUCAUGUGGUCUACAGCACAAGGUUGCUAAAGCAUCUUCUGCCAGAAUUCUGUGAGUAUCUGGUUAGGUGGGUCUGGAAUAUACUGAGUUUAAAAAAGUUAAAUAGGUUUCUUUACUGCAAGAUGUUUCAGAGACUUUAAUAUGCUACUCUGCUGUAUGAAUCUCCAGGCAGGAAAUCUUAUAAAAUGUGUUUCUGAAAUGAAUUUGCACAUAAGACCCUGUUUUCUUGGAGCCUCUGAUAGUGGGUGAAUGCCCAAUCUCUAGUGGGACUUGCAAGACUUUGCAAUUGGGCAGACAUAUUUCUUUUCACCUUAUCUCCCUCUGUCUCUAUGGAGAUACUCCCAUCGCAUCAAAGUUCUUCUUAUUACUUACACAUGGGGUGGCAGCUGUGACAUGCACCCAUCACAUCUCCCUCCAAGAGACCCUACAGGGGAGCACAGUUGGCUGGCAGCUCCCGGUGUCUGCGCCUCCAGGCCCACUGCUCCCUUGGGCGGCUCCCAGUCAGUGGCAAGGUAGCGGGGUUCUGGAGGAGGCCCAUUUCUACCUGCAGUGGGGAAGCUGGGCUCCUCUAAGAGGCAAACUUCUCAGAGACUCCACUGUGGCUCUGCUGAGGCUGAGAACUGUGCUUUUGGUCUGAGCGCAUUCUCCCCAUUCUCCUUCCUGCCCCCGCUCCUUGCGCCGGCCUUAGACCAGCUAGCUGUCUGCAGGCUUUCCCUGCCCACGGCUGCCCCUCCUUUCCCCUUCACAGCCGUUUCCGCCCACAUGCGCCGUGCAUGGUUAAUCGCACCGUGCCAUCCACUUCUCUGAGGACCUGAGUUAGCACACAAAGUAUGUUCGUUCCCUGUGUCCUCACCUCUCCCUGAUGUAUCUUCUCCCUUCCUCUGCUGGCUGUCUGUUGGGAAUCUUGGGAAAGGAAUUUGUGAGUAAUGUUCCAGGCAGCCUAGCUUUUAGGGUGAAUGACUGGUUCUGACUUAUGUCAAUACAUCCUUGAGUCAUGCCAAGAACUGUGGGAUGAUCAAGGACCACGGACCAGUGUCCUGGAAGCAUCGAUGGCUCCAAGCUGCUGGCACCACUGUCCUUGGAAUUACCGAGUGUGAUUUUUAGAGUUACGGGCACAUUUCUCAGGCCCCAUAAAUGUGAUGGAUGGUGAAUUACAGGACUUUUGAGUAUAUAGUGAGUGGACUACAAUUGUGCUGUAUGUAGCCCACUGCUUUGUGCGUGAGGCGAUUUUAGGCCAUUGAAGGAGUUCAGCUGUCCUCCAUAUGAGUCAUUUCCUAGACAGUGUACUCUGCAAAAGCCCAAAUAACUUCACAAAUGUAACAGUUUAAGCUCUUAUCAGCCAUGUAUACCACACUGAGAUGAGUAUAUCAUAUUUCACAUAAUAUAAAAUAGAAGUAACAUCAUACAUUUCACUCUUAUUUCUCCUUCUGGAAGCCACCAUGCCCUAACUCAUUCUCUUUCUAAAUUUCAAAACAUCCAAACAUUUCCCAGCUUAUUUUAUUUGCAACACAAACUAGCAUUUUUCUUUUUAUUCAUAAGCUAAAAACUUUAUCACUGAAAUCAUUUUAUACUGCCACGUAUCAUUCUUCACUCUCUCAAUACAGUGCUCUUCUCAUUGGUUAGUCAAUAGUUUAUAAGAGUUCCAUAUUUUUAUCUUUGGUUGAGAUGUAUUAAUUGAUUAGAGAUACUUUUACAAUUGUAAUUAAAAAGUUUAAUCAUUAAAUUUAAUGAGACAGGUAUACGGAGGUUCAGAAGAAAUGUAAGGAAGUGAGACAAGAAGAGAAAGGGAGGUUACGAAAAGUGAGAUUAGGAAAAUAAACGGAAGACCACGUUGAUACUGACUGGAAAACGUGGAAGGUUUACUAAUUAAUCAGUGCUAACAUGACCACAAAGCAUAUGUUACUAUUUUUACUAUUGGAACCCACCGUUAAGUAGUCAAAGUUGCAGGAUAAAGUGUCUGAAAACAUAUAAAACAGAUAAAAUGAUGAAAGUGUAAACAGGUACAUCUUUUCUGAAGGCAGUUUGGUGUGCACUAAAGUGCAGAAUAUACCUUGCAAUUCUACUCCCAUGAAUAUAACAGAAAGUAAUUACUGAGUUGGGAGCGGUGGCCCAUGCCUGUAACCCCAGCACUUUGGGAGGCCUAGGUGUUGGAUCAUUUGAGGUCAGGAGUUUGAGACCAGCCUAGCCAACAUGGUGAAACCCCCUCUCUCCUAAAACUACAAAAAUUAGCCGGGCAUGGUAUUGCAUGCCUGUAAUCCCAGCUACUAGAGAGGCUGAGGCAUGAGAAUCGCUUGAACCCGGGAGGCAGAAGUUGCAGUAAGCUGAGAGAUCGCACCACUGCACUCCCGCCUGGGUGACAGAGUGAGACUCUGUCUCAAAAAAAAAAAAAAAAAAGUGCAAGGAUGUUUAUUACAGUAUAGUAAAUCGCAAGCAGGAAAAUCCUAAAUGUAUUAUGUUGGUACUAAAGUAAUUGUGGUCUUUGCCGUUAAAAGUAGUAAAUCCAUGGAGAAUGGGUUAAAUAAAUGAUAGUUUAUGUAUACACACAAAUACCAUGUGGCUGGUAAAAAUGAUGGUGUAAAUUAUAUUUACAGACUGAUAAACGUAAAAAGUAUCUGGGACAUAGCAUUAUUGAAAAGAAAGCAGGCUAGUGAAUACUAUAAUUAUUUUGUAAAAGUCUCUUAUGGACAUAAGUUAUAUAUUUACAUGGCCAUAUUUUGCACAGGAAAUAUGAAAAAGUAUAUAUAUCAAACAGUAAUGGCUUAUUUUUAUCUUCUGGGAGUUUUGCAGGUGCUUCCCUCUUUACACCAUUAUAUGUCAUCUGAAGUUUUGUUCUGAUUCUGUAUUAUUUCAUUUCUAAAAGAAAAGCCCCAAAACCAAGUGCUGUUUUCCUGGUCUGUGGAAACAGAGUCUCCGAGGAAUUAGGCUAGACAUGGUAAGAACAAAGUUCUGUUGUGAUAAAAGCUUUGGCCUGAGGUUCCAACCAUUAAGUUUGCCAGCUCAGACUUGAUCUUGAAUGAAGGCGGGGUUCUGUGACUGGAGACCAUUUCUCUCCUUUUGUAUUUGUUGGUGUGUCCAAAAACCUCAGAUCUCCCAGCUUCAGGCUUCUUUGAGGGCAGUGCUAAAUUGGUUGAAACCUUAUUUGAGGCAGUUCCUGAAAAGGGUAGGUGAAAUUUCCUGCUGAUAAAAGGCAUCUUGUGUCUUGUUCAUCCUUAGCAAAUUGCCAAUUAGCAAAGAAGAGAGGGCAGAUGAAGUACCAGCCAAUUUGAAAUUGGUGUGGACUUCCAUCAAGGUAUAUUAAUUCACUUUACCUAGAUGAUUCGAAAUUAGUUGCUUUUUUCUUUUAAUCCUAAAAGGAUAAUUUUCUUCAUGUUCUUCUUGUCAUGUCAGCCAAAUCCUAUAGUGUCAACUUUCAGUAAAUGUAUCUUAGAUAUAACUAUGGACCAAUCUAGAUCUUUCUCUCUCUAUCAUCUAUACAGUUUAGAGAUUUUAAAACUCUUACCACUUAGUUUGAAAUUUUAUUUUAAUUUAUAAAAUGAUAUAUUCUUAUGUAAAAAAUUCAGACAAUAAAGAUGUAUUUAAAGUAAAAGGCAAAAGUUGUCUGUUUUAACUUCAUCCCCAUUUUUUCACUCCCUUGAGGAAACCACAAUGAACUGCUUCGUCUGUUCAAACAUACACUUAUAUGCCAAGACUUUCCUCUCACAGAAUAUGCAGUAUGUUUCCUUUUUUAAAGAAAAAACCCCUCAAUAUUGUAGCAUAAACAUUAAUGGCUGCAUGGUAUAGCAUAAUGUGAGCAUAUCAUCAUUUAUUUAACCAUCCCCAUGACAACCAACAUUUAGGUUGUCUCUAUUUUUUUUUCUGUUUUAAAUAAAACUUAAUGUACAUCUUGCACAUUUGUGUCAUUAUGCAAGUCUAGAAUCCUGGAUGGAGAAUUGUCAAGCCAAAAGUGUGAGCAUUUUGAUAGACCAAGUAUCAGCAGGAUUGAUGACUUUGGAGCACUUCACAAGCCGAGGUGCAAACAUUUCUUUCUCCCAACUGCCCUCUUCUCUGUGUCCUCCAACAGGCACAGUCUGUGACAGAUGAGAACAGGUUCAAAUUGGCUCCAGGCUGAAGUUUCCACAGAGCUGAGAAGAAUGAUCUGCAUAAUCAGUCUCUCACCAGGGAGCUCCUGGAGCUCAGACAGGCCCUCAGCGAGGCACGCAUGUUCCUAGACAGAGUCUCACUCUGCACACAGGCUGGAGUACAGUGGCAUGAUCAUAGCAGCCUCAAACUCCUGGGCUUCAGCGAUCCUCCUGCCUCAGACUCCUGAGGAACUGGGACUGACUACAG